AUUGAACGCUGGCGGCAGGCCUAACACAUGCAAGUCGAGCGGGGUUUUCGGACCUAGCGGCGGACGGGUGAGUAAUGCGUAGGAAGCUGCCCGAUAGAGGGGGAUACCAGUUGGAAACGACUGUUAAUACCGCAUAAUGUCUACGGACCAAAGUGUGGGACCUUCGGGCCACAUGCUAUCGGAUGCGCCUACGUGGGAUUAGCUAGUUGGUGAGGUAAUGGCUCACCAAGGCGACGAUCUCUAGCUGGUUUGAGAGGAUGAUCAGCCACACUGGAACUGGGAGACGGUCCAGACUCCUAAGGGAGGCAGCAGUGGGGAAUAGUGGACAAUGGGCGCAAGCCUGAUCCAGCAUGCCGCGUGUGUGAAGAAGGCCUUUUGGUUGUAAAGCACUUUAAGCGAGGAGGAGGCGCUCUAGGCUAAUACCCUAGAGGCGUGGACGUUACUCGCAGAAUAAGCACCGGCUAACUCUGUGCCAGCCGCCGCGGUAACAC
rnacentral:rRNA from 1 species